UGGACAAAAGCUUUUAAAGCACCUGAUUGUUACUCAGGAGAGGUACGGUGGUUUGUUCUUGUCUAG
rnacentral:tRNA from 1 species